CUACGGGCGGCAGCAGGCGAGAAAACUUUGCAAUGUGCGAAAGCACGACAAGGUUAAUCCGAGUGGUUUCUGCUAAAGGAACCUUUUGUCGGUCCUAGAAACACCGAUGAAUAAGGGGUGGGCAAGUUCUGGUGUCAGCCGCCGCGGUAAAACCAGCACCUCAAGUGGUCAGGAUGAUUAUUGGGCCUAAAGCAUCCGUAGCCUGCUUUGUUAGUUUUCGGUUAAAUCUGUACGCUCAACGUACAGGCUGCCGGGAAUACUGCAAAGCUAGGGAGUGGGAGAGGUAGACGGUACUCGGUAGGAGGGGGUAAAAUCCUUUGAUCUAUUGAUGACCACCUGUGGCGAAGGCGGUCUGCCAGAACACGUCCGACGGUGAGGGAUGAAAGCUGGGGGAGCAAACCGGAUUAGAUACCCGAGUAGUC
rnacentral:rRNA from 1 species